CCUACGGGAGGCAGCAGUGGGGAAUAUUGGGCAAUGGGCGCAAGCCUGACCCAGCAACGCCGCGUGAAGGAAGAAGGCUUUCGGGUUGUAAACUUCUUUUAAGAGGGAAGAGCAGAAGACGGUACCUCUUGAAUAAGCCACGGCUAACUACGUGCCAGCAGCCGCGGUAAUACGUAGGUGGCAAGCGUUGUCCGGAUUUACUGGGUGUAAAGGGCGUGCAGCCGGGCAUGCAAGUCAGAUGUGAAAUCUCAGUGCUCAACCCUGAAACUGCAUUUGAAACUGUAUGUCUUGAGUGCCGGAGAGGUAAUCGGAAUUCCUUGUGUAGCGGUGAAAUGCGUAGAUAUAAGGAAGAACACCAGUGGCGAAGGCGGAUUACUGGACGGUAACUGACGGUGAGGCGCGAAAGCGUGGGGAGCAAACAGGAUUAGAUACCCUAGUAGUC
rnacentral:rRNA from 1 species